rnacentral:sRNA from 1 species
UCGUAGCCACGACGCGCGGCAGCGAGAGA